CCUACGGGCGGCAGCAGUGAGGAAUAUUGGUCAAUGGCCGGAAGCCUGAACCAGCCAAGCCGCGUGAAGGACGAAGGUGCAAAGCAUGGUAAACUUCUUUUGUCAAGGGACAAAAUCAGGCUCGAGAGCCUGACCGAGGGUACUUGAAGAAAAAGCAUCGGCUAACUCCGUGCCAGCAGCCGCGGUAAGACGGAGGAUGCGAGCGUUAUCCGGAUUUAUUGGGUUUAAAGGGUGCGUAGGCGGGCUGUUAAGUCAGCGGUAAAAGCCCGGGGCUCAACCCCGGCGAGCCGUUGAAACUGGCUGUCUUGAGAUGUCGAGAGGUAUGCGGAAUGCGCAGUGUAGCGGUGAAAUGCUUAGAUAUUGCGCAGAACUCCGAUUGCGAAGGCAGCAUACCGGCGGCGAUCUGACGCUGAGGCACGAAAGCGUGGGUAUCGAACAGGAUUAGAUACCCCAGUAGUC
rnacentral:rRNA from 1 species